rnacentral:piRNA from 1 species
UGAACCGAGUUCCUUAUGCUUUCAGGG